rnacentral:tRNA from 1 species
GAGAUGGCUCAGUGGUUUAGAGCACUAGCUCUUCCAGAAGUCCUGAGUUCAAUUCCCAGCAAUCACA